AGUGGGGUCAAAACGCUACUGAACACGGAACCUUUCCGGAUAUCAGCUCCAGGACUCAACAUCAUGGAGUAUACAGUGAAUUAUAGCGUGAUAAAGUUAUAAUUUUCACUAAAUUUUCAACUGCACACAAUUACCAGUGAACUGUGUGUAAAUCAUCAACUGCCUGUGUAUCAGCUGAUUUCUACACCAGCUUUACAUCCUGAGCAGAAGAUUGUCGUGGAGAGGACGGACCCUUGAUGCUCUGCCUUUUUGCACCAACAAUACAUACAUGUAUUUUAUUAAUUUGUAAAUAAAGUCUUUAAUAUAA